ACAUAUGACAAAAUAUAGGUACAUAUGACAAAAUAUACACAAAUAUACCUAUGACUAUACAAGCCCAGCAAAAUGAAGUAUUGCUCUACAUGAUUCAAGAUUCAAGAAACUAGUUUUGGUGAGCAACUGACCAGUAGGUAUGUUUACAGAAACAAAGGCAUUAGUUGUUAUUCAUUUAAGCAGAUUCAUCUGAUUCAAGUAACUCCUGUGACUCGUUUAUGAUUGUUUUGUAAUUAAUAUUAAAAGCAAAAAAGGAUACAAAUUAGCUCUGAAUUUGCAACUGUAAUUUGGUGACAUCAGCCUCAUUAAGAUUUUGCAUUUCAGCAAAAUCUUUUGAAAAAAUGUAUCAUACAUUUCAUUCAGCCCGCACCAAACCAAACACAUUAAAAAUAUAAUAUCUCGUUUUAUUAUUUUCAGCCUUAAUUUUUUAAAAUGACAGCAGCCUUAUAAAUUAAUGAUUCACCCUGACAAUAAAACUUUAAUUGUUUCCUUUUUCCUUUUUAUCUCCAGAUUUUACAAAUCCAUGAUCGGCCCAACUCUCCAAGAAUAUCUAAUUUCAGUGAUGAAACAGAGAUCGAAGCUAGUCAUCAACAGCUGAAUGCAACAAGUGCAUCUACAUGCAGCCAUAAACCAGUGGCUAAAGCCAGCCAUCAGCAGCUGUUAGCAGCAAGUACGUCCACGUGCAGCCAUGAUUCAGUGGCCAGAGUUAGUCAUCAGCAACAGCCUUCUAAUAUUGAACAAAAACCGUGCUCAUUAUGUGGAUGUAAAGGAUUGUGCAGUGCUUAUAGAGCGUUGACCAUUGAUAAGACCACCCAUCAGCCUUCUCUUCAGGUAAUUAAGAUCAGACAUUUUUCUACACCGAAAUAACACAAAUAGGAAACAAUUUUAUUCGCUCUGUCAAGAAAGUUUUAAUUAUGAAACUACGAUUUGAAGCAAACUAAUGUCCACUUAUGUGAUUUAAAUUUGAUGAAAAAUUGACCAUGUGGGAGGUGUUAUCAAAAGUUUUGGAGCGACUAGAUGACCAUGAUCUAUUAUGAAAGGAAACUUAUCAGAAAAUUAUAGCAGAUUUAGAUAGUACCCAAGCACAUUUUACUUUACUCUGUCAUUCUAAUGUAAAGGAUCAGCAGCUUCUGUUGAUUUUCAUGAUAUCCAUUUUAAAGUGUCCAUCCU
rnacentral:lncRNA from 1 species